rnacentral:rRNA from 1 species
GAUGAACGCUAGCGGCAGGCCUAAUACAUGCAAGUCGAGCGGCAAGUUGAGGAGUAAUCCAAAACCUAGAGCGGCGUACGGGUGCGUAACGCGUAUGCAACCUACCUCAUACAGGGGGAUAGCCCGGAGAAAUCUGGAUUAAUACCCCAUGGCACAGCACAAGGGCAUCUGCGAGCUGUUAAAGAUUCAUCGGUAUGAGAUGGGCAUGCGUCUGAUUAGCUAGUUGGCGGUGUAACGGACCACCAAGGCGACGAUCAGUAGGGGUUCUGAGAGGAAGGUCCCCCACACUGGCACUGAGAUACGGGCCAGACUCCUACGGGAGGCAGCAGUAGGGAAUAUUGGGCAAUGGACGAGAGUCUGACCCAGCCAUGCCGCGUGCAGGAAGACGGCGUUAUGCGUUGUAAACUGCUUUUAUCUGGGAAGAAAAAGUCCAUGCGUGGAAAAUUGCCGGUACCAGAUGAAUAAGCACCGGCUAACUCCGUG